UCGUUUUGUUUCAAAGUUUUGAAAAAGAGACAAAGUUCAAGAUUACAAAGAAAACUCCUCUUUUGAAAACGUACGUGGUUAGAACAACAAAUAAAAUUUGAAAAAUGUGAUCGUCGAGUCAACUCUGAUGUCACGACUCUUCAUGCUCUCUUCUCCAUGCUGUUGGACAGAUUUAUUGAGGCCUAAGCCAGAUAUCAUAACUACAGGCUAUCCAGUUUCGCUUGGGCUGGUAUUGACCUGUCACCAGCAACAAUCUUAUUAUCAUCGCUUGGAUAAACAGCAUCAUCCCGUUCAAGGCCUUUUUUCCUAUCUCGUCUGGUGGAUUUUCAACUUUUCAGCGGAUGGAAGAAACACUUGUGGAUGUCUGGCUGUAAUUCCCAGGCUUAAAGGUAGGAAAAAUUAUCUCCAUUUUUCUUUUUUAUCUCUUUGCUUGUGUUGGUUAUAAAUCGUUAGACAGUAUGGGGUACGAUUAUUCCUGAGCUAUAGGCGAUUGAUUGAAACUGUUUUCUCUGGUGGCGUUUUUGUUGACUCAGUCAAGUUUUUUUUUUUUUUUUAACAAUUCAUUUGUUGAACGACUACAGCUUAGGCCUGGUUUUGUACUCUCAACUUUGUCUGUGGGAAGACAAUCAAAUUCAAAAAUAUGUUGACUUGACAAUUUUUUGACCUUUUGCCACACCGUCUUCGUUAAUUUCCGCCGUUUGUCUUUCUUUUUAUCUUACUCAACUCUAAGCAAAUCUCUUUAAACGCAUCCCGAGCUUAUUGUAACGUCCAAGGAAUGAGCUGACGGUGUCAUUUCAACUUCUCUGACGCAUAUUGAGCUAUAAUAAAAUGUCGAGCCUGUCUGGAAUCCGGAAAGAGGGCACGUAUGAUAAGCAACCGGAUAUUGCUUGUUCUCUUCUCCUCUCAGCCUCGCUCUUAGCUCUGCUCGAGGGUUUUGAUAUAAUAUCGAUAUAACGCACCGGAUAAGUACUGCUGCUGGUAAACAUCCGCGUGCACAACGCCAGGAACGUUGGAGUGAUGGGGUAUAUAUUCUACAGCACUGAGCUGAUGCUGUAGAGAAGUUGAAGUUGCUGUCUUCACCUCUCCCUCUUGCCCUUUAGACGUAAGCAAAAUUCACACUGCAUCAGCAACGCACGUGUCCAUAACAGCCAGCACCCCUUUCACUCUAUAAUAAAGAUUAUAGCAGUGUGUAUACGUUAUAAUACCUCCCUUUUUUUCCGCCCCGUGUGUUAAUUCACACAACGUUGGCGCUUAUUAUAAUGAUGAUGAUGAUGAUGAAUUGAUGAUGACAAUGAUGACGCGUUGUAUGGACACACGAUCACAAUCACGUCCUAUCGAGAGAAGGUGAGGGGAGAUGUGGCGGAAGGGAUCAACGUUUUCUCAUAUUUCCGUUUUAUG